rnacentral:rRNA from 1 species
UACGUAGGGGGCAAGCGUUGUCCGGAUUUAUUGGGCGUAAAGAGCGUGUAGGCGGUUUGGUAGGUCCGCUGUGAAAACUCGAGGCUCAACCUCGAGACGCCGGUGGAAACCAUCAGGCUAGAGUCCGGAAGAGGAGAGUGGAAUUCCUGGUGUAGCGGUGAAAUGCGCAGAUAUCAGGAAGAACACCCGUGGCUAAGGCGGCUCACUGGCCCGAUACUGACGCUGGAGGCACGAAAGCCGUGGGGGAGCAAACAGG